GCGGUGGAUUAUGUGGAGUUAAUUCGAUGCAACGCGAAAACCUACCUACCCUUGACAUGUCCGGAAUCCUGCAGAGAUGCGGGAGUGCCGAAAGGAAUCGGAACACAGGUGCUGCAUGGCUGUCGUCAGCUCGUGUCGUGAGAUGUUGGGUUAAGUCCCGCAACGAGCGCAACCCUUAUCAUUAGUUGCUACGCAAGGGCACCCUAAUGAGACUGCCGGUGACAAACCGGAGGAAGGUGGGGAUGACGUCAAGUCCUCAUGGCCCUUAUGGGUAGGGCUUCACACGUCAUACAAUGGUCGGUACAGAGGGUUGCCAAGCCGCGAGGUGGAGCCAAUCCCAGAAAGCCGAUCGUAGUCCGGAUUGUUCUCUGCAACUCGACUGCGUGAAGUCGGAAUCGCUAGUAAUCGUGGAUCAGCAUGCCACGGUGAAUACGUUCCCGGGUCUU
rnacentral:rRNA from 1 species